UGCGACAGGUAAACAGCAGGCCACAGCCUCCUUGCAUUCCCUUUGUGUUUGGUAAUAGAAUACCAAGUGACUCUCAAAUCAGUUUCAGUGAAUACUGGAAGAAAAACGUUCCACUUAAGAUGACUGUGCUGCCAUGAAUAAGAUGUACAGACCCAGGUGUCAGUCUCCUCUGCUGACAGGAGCUGAGCAAUCAGAUCAGAUGCAGAAACACAGCUACUCAGACCUGAGUGGGCCCAGUGCUGAGAUUUAUCAGUGUCUGAAGGUGAAGAGGGCAGGGAAACAUUUGCAUGUAAUUGGAAUCACUGGAAAGCAGGACCACACAUGGGCUAGUUGAAUUACAGGACAUUGUUUACCGGAAGGAAACUCAUCAUAAUCAGCAUCACCAAAAGACGUGUUGUCCAAACCAUUUUAAUUUGAAGGAAAACUACCAUUGACUAAGGAAGACCUUUCCAAUGAACUGGAGUGACAAGAGCAAGGAGUGAUUGCUUCUAAGCAGAGUAGGCUGUCUGAACCAUCAACCCUCUGGGGCAAAGAGCAAUCGUGUUUACUCACAAUGAGGAAAAAUGGAGACACUUGAAGCCUCAUCAGUAAAGAAAAUAAAACCAACAGAGGGGUUUAAUUACAAGCUCACUGACAACCGGUUAGCACUGUGUUUGGGUUAAUUUCUCUUUUGGCUAUUUUGUAGAAAAUAUUUCAAAUUAAGAAAAUAAAAUCCCACGAUAAUUCCCCAUGCUGCAUAAAUUGU